AUCCAGCUGACGAGUUCCAAAUAGGACGUAAGGCGUGUCCUGGAU
rfam:Schistosoma curassoni strain Dakar, Senegal genome assembly, scaffold: SCTD_scaffold0007104